CACUUCUGUCUCCGUUUGCCUUGAGUUUGAGCCACAGUAGCACAUGCUUGUUUAUAAUGAGGUCUCAAAUUAUAGAAAAAAGAUUCAUUUCUCGUAAGUGGAUGUUUUGUGAGUGUGAUGAGCCUAAAUCAAGGCAGCGUGGAUUAAGCUGUCCCUCUAAUUUUCCAGCUCACUAUUGGAGGGUAUUUGUUAACCUAAAACUCAGUUACAGCCUGUACACUAUUGUCUUUUAUUAAAAUUCAUUUGAAGUCCGUAUCCAUUAUCUUGGCAUUCUGCAGAAUGUAUGAUUAUGUCCCAAAGUAUGGUUGAACAAGUUUCCUUAUGUGGGUGACAACAUCUGACCCUCUUCUGUAGUAGCAUGGACUCAAUACAAGUGCUAAAAAGUCACCUCAUCCAUUCUGAAUGCCUGCCAGUGGAAAUUGGGAGCACAAGACGCUGAGAACUGUGCUGGAAGGAAGUGAUCUCUGAAGUGAGGGGAGACGGACUGCUAAUUCCAACAACAAACUUCCACCUGCUGUCAAGAAUGAUUAUGGAUCGGAGGGGCCACAGGUGGAGAUGCACUAUGACCUCUUGGAAAGUCUCACAUGCCUACAUGGCAUCAUGGCAGUUAACCUUGUCUCUAAGUGAGUGCUCGUGCUCUCCAUGUGCAUGAGAAGGCCCAAACACCCGCUGGACCUCCUGGGACUUCUUGAAGCCAGAUUCUGCAGGCGCAAAUUAUCUGGGUUAGAGUCAAUGACAGCGUGAGCUCUGGGUAAGUGCCCUCCCUCGCGUUCAUAUGUGGUCUUUGAAACUGAGAUGUCAGACAAGCAGGUGAAGACAUACUUCGGUUUUAUUGUUGUUUAGGCAUGGAUAGAAACAUUAAUUUUUUUGCACUCUUGGUUCUUGAAACGUGCCUAUAGUGAACGUGGAGCAGUGAAAAACCCGGCUCCCAGGACUGACGAUUUAAAGUGCAUAGGAGAUCUAGCAGAAUCCCAAAAGAUGAGACGGUGUUUUAAUUCCUUUCUCAUAGCUGUGGAAGUCGAAGGACUUUUUCUUCUCUUCUUCCCCCACAUUCCCAAGACAGUGGUAUGAACAUUUUCAACCCUUCCCUAUGCUUUCCCUGAUGAUCUUUGGAGGUUUCUUCUCUGUAUUUAAGAACAAUUUGUAGUGUUAUAAACAAAGACAGUUGAUUUUUGCAUACUCCUUCACCGCAUUCUGUUACAGCUUUUCCUGUUUAGAGUCAUGCCCACUGCAUCUUUUUUAAAAAAUAUGUAUCACUUGGCAGUGUUCUCGCACCAAAAGAAAAGGAUAUAUUUGUAUAUAAAGUAACUUUUUUGUGUGUUCACGUUUUAUUUUGGAAAAACAGGUGUUUAAAAAUUUUAGAAUUUUUUUAACAAAAUUCUAAAAAAAAAAAUCACAAUAUUUACAGAGAUAACAUAAUGGCUUAGCCAUGCAAAACAAAUUACUUUGGUUUUUUACCCCAUUUUACUUUGGUUUAAAUAUUGACCAAGAUUAUAAUGUUUUUCUUUUUGCCAAAUAAAACAGUAACAAAUCAGAGUUUAGAGGCAUAUAACAGGAUUUCCCUCUAUUAUUUUAUACAGCAUAGAGUUUAUAGGACAUCUUAUGUAUUUAAUCCAUGCCAAUGCACUACAGGAAGCUUUUAUUAAGACAUCAGUCACUACUGCCCAGACAUGUAACAUUUUACAAAUUUACAAGUAACAGUGUUUUCUUCCCCCUAAAUAAUGCAAAAGUGGCAAAAUACAUUUCCUAACGUCCAUCUCUUUCUUUCUUUUAUUUAUUUUUUUUGCCUAGCAGUCUAUAAAAACAUACUUUUCCCUGGAUAUUUGUAAAUGGAAACCUGAUGUUCUGCUUGCUCUACAGUUCCUCUUCAUCAAAGCUGCCUAUUACUUUCUUCCAGAAACUAACCUUCCAAAAAGAUGAAACUUUUCCCCCUUCAGUACAAUUUUCUAUUGGCCAUUUACGCCAAACCAUUUUCUUAUCAGUACCAUUCUAAAAAUUUCCUCAAGCAUAAAACAUGUUUAUAAAGUUACAAACUUGAAUGUAACUAAAGAUACAUAGACAUUUCAUUGUUACAAUUAUAUGUACUGUUUGAUAAAUUAAGUACCAGUUAAAAACACUAAAAUUAUCUCAAGGUGCAUUCAAUAUCUGUAGCAUAGUUAACAAAAACACACAAAAAAUAUAUAUAUUCUAUUUUUGUGGAAAAAAAAUGCAGCUUUGAUAUGACCACUUUUUUUCUCUUUUUUUUUUUU